GAUGAACGCUAGCUACAGGCUUAACACAUGCAAGUCGAGGGGAACGAUAGAGAAAGCUUGCUUUUUCUAGGCGUCGACCGGCGCACGGGUGAGUAGCGCGUAUCCAACCUGCCCACCACUUGGGGAUAACCUUGCGAAAGUAAGACUAAUACCCAAUGACGUCUCUAGAAGACAUCUGAAAGAGAUUAAAGAUUUAUCGGUGAUGGAUGGGGAUGCGUCUGAUUAGCUUGUUGGCGGGGUAACGGCCCACCAAGGCGACGAUCAGUAGGGGUUCUGAGAGGAAGGUCCCCCACAUUGGAACUGAGACACGGUCCAAAACUCCUACGGGAGGCAGCAGUGAGGAAUAUUGGUCAAUGGACGAGAGUCUGAACCAGCCAAGUAGCGUGCAGGAUGACGGCCCUAUGGGUUGUAAACUGCUUUUAUAAGGGAAUAAAGUGAGUCUCGUGAGACUUUUUGCAUGUACCUUAUGAAUAAAGGACCGGCUAAUUCCGUGCCAGCAGCC
rnacentral:rRNA from 1 species